GCUGGGCAUGUGGUGCAUGCCUGUAAUUCCAAUGGCUUGGGAGGCUGAGGCAGGAGGAUCUCGAGUUUAAAGCCAGCCUCAGCAAAAGUGAGGCUCUAAGGAACUCAGUGAGACCCUGUCUCUA
rnacentral:sRNA from 1 species